AUCUAGCACCUUGGGUUCAUUCAGAGUCCGGGUCUUGUUCAAAACAGCUUCCUUGCACAAAGUCCAAUCUCCCUUCACAUCCUUCACCUCAUCAAGAAGCGAAGUAAGCUCCACUAAGAAGUGAUCUAGCUUGGCUUGAACAUCUAGCUUGAUGCCGUCUAGCACGGAGCUGAGGACUCCCUGGAAUUGGCCUUGAAACUCAUCCACUACAGCUUCGAAGCCCCCUUUCGACCACGGCAAUCUCCAUCUUAGAAAGUCGCUUCUCCAUCAUGGCUACCACAUCUCUAGAUCGUUCCCUCUUUGAUUUGCCCCCACGAUCCAUGUUGACCUUGGACAGGUCUGUCUCCACAUCUGAUUAGAGAAAUGAUAGCUAAAAUAGGGUACGGGAUGUGUUUAUUAUGUAAAUCAAGCGGCCAGAGCCUUAUGUAAAAGAGAGAGAGAAAG
rnacentral:lncRNA from 1 species